GUACCGGAACUACAUGGAAUAGUGUGUGUGUCACCUGGCGACUCAUGUAGUCACACUCACACGCGGAUGUGGGCCACGCGGCCGGCAGCCCAUCAAGGCAUCAGCUAUCAAUCCAGUAUUCCAGAUUUCCAGCGCUGCUUCCUUUUCUCCGCCGUGCUCUCCCCAGUCCCCUCCGCCUCCGGUCACCAUUAACCUAGCCGCAACUCUCCUCGGUGCGGCGGUGCCCGCCUGCCCGGAGCUCGGACACCGGAGCGACCUCAAGUGUUCCACAGGCGUCACGGGACACGACGCUCACCGCUCGCUAUCGCUGGCGGACUACGGACGGCUGGAGCUGGAUUGCUGACUGCUGUGGAGAAUUCGGACUUUGAAGCCUCAAGUCUGAACCAUAUGUGAAGUCUGAACUGUAUUUUUCUCGUGGAUUUGUGAUGCAAUGCAAUGGCACUUGGCGGCUGUCACUGGCAGGCAGCAGCAGCACCGCAGCAGGCUUAAUGCCUUACAGCCUUGCACUUUUGUAUCUUUUGUCGUCGUCGAGUACUCAGUACAUUAGUGUAGUAGUAGGUAGUACCUGUCGGCUGUAUUGGUUCUUGAAUUCUCGCUCCUCUGCAUAAGCAUGUUUGGAGCAAAGAUGAGGGCAGAGUUAGCAAAUAUGCUUGUUAUGUAUGAAGUAGCAUAAAUCAGGCUAUAGACACUAGAGAAGAGGCUGGUAUUUUAUUUUAUUUCCUUAUAUCUUGUAUAUCAAAUUCCUAUUCUUUUGUGUUUGUAAAUCAACGAUCAAUGGACAUUUCCAUGAACAUGUAUUAAAUUGAGUUGUAUAUUGGUUUUUUGGCGAUUAA